UACGAAGGGGGCUAGCGUUGUUCGGAUUUACUGGGCGUAAAGCGCGCGUAGGCGGCUUUGUAAGUUAGAGGUGAAAGCCCGGAGCUCAACUCCGGAACUGCCUUUGAAACUAGGUGACUAGAAUCUUGGAGAGGCGAGUGGAAUUCCGAGUGUAGAGGUGAAAUUCGUAGAUAUUCGGAAGAACACCAGUGGCGAAGGCGACUCGCUGGACAAGUAUUGACGCUGAGGUGCGAAAGCGUGGGGAGCAAACAGG
rnacentral:rRNA from 1 species